rnacentral:rRNA from 1 species
CGAGUGGCGAACGGGUGAGUAAUACAUCGGAACGUGCCCAAUCGUGGGGGAUAACGCAGCGAAAGCUGUGCUAAUACCGCAUACGAUCUACGGAUGAAAGCAGGGGACCGCAAGGCCUUGCGCGAAUGGAGCGGCCGAUGGCAGAUUAGGUAGUUGGUGAGUUAAAGGCUCACCAAGCCUUCGAUCUGUAGCUGGUCUGAGAGGACGACCAGCCACACUGGGACUGAGACACGGCCCAGACUCCUACGGGAGGCAGCAGUGGGGAAUUUUGGACAAUGGGCGCAAGCCUGAUCCAGCCAUGCCGCGUGCAGGAUGAAGGCCUUCGGGUUGUAAACUGCUUUUGUACGGAACGAAACGGCUCUUUCUAAUAAAGAGGGCUAAUGACGGUACCGUAAGAAUAAGCACCGGCUAACUACGUGCCAGCAGCCGCGGUAAUACGUAGGGUGCAAGCGUUAAUCGGAAUUACUGG